rnacentral:rRNA from 1 species
GGGUGCGAUCAUACAAGUACUAAUGCACCGGAUCCUAUCAGAACUCCACAGGUUAAGUGUGCUUAGGCGAGAGCAGUACUAGGGUGGGUGACCUCGUAGGAAGUCCUCGGAAUGCACCCC